ACGCUCACUUGGGCAGCGCAUCUACUAAAACUGGAAGGAUACAGAGAAGAUUAGCAUGGCCCCUGCACAAAGAUGACACGCAAAUUCAGGAAGUGUUCUAUAUUUUA